AAAGUGCCAGUGUGGUCUCUUGGUGCUAUAUUUGCUUCAAUGCACAUCUGGACACCACAAUAAAGUUGAAUAAUUCAGUUUUAUAUCAACAAAGCAUGUGGAAUGAGCCUUCUUUUUUCCAUAGCACCUGGAAUUAUUACAUUUUUUCUUCAUGGGUGGAAUUAUUCUUAGAAUUUCAGGAAAGCUUGUGGUGAUGAGUUCUUUUUAUUUCAUUUUUAGAGGGUUGAUGCCAUAUUAAGUUGUGAUCAUUCAAUUUUCUAUUUUAGAUUCUGGAAUUACGUUCUUCCCUUUACAUAGCAUUCUAAAAGAUUCUACAUUUUUACAUGCAAGUAAUCAUUGUUUGAACCUCAUAAAAGGAUAUUUUGAUAUUUCAUUUUUAUUUGUGCUGAUAAAUUUUUCAUUAUUAUUAUUAUUUUUAAUUUUGUUUUGGUGUUGAGAAGAGGUGAUUUAAAUUUGUUUGUGUUAGAACUAAUAAUGUAUUACCUAGUGAGGAUUAGUUAUAGGAUAUUCUCACAUGACACCUGUACAAAUGUGUGAGCUCUCUUUGUCUUGUAGUGCUAGAUAUAUCUCUCGCUCUGUAAUAGCCCUCUGAUACAGUUAACAGAAUACAAAGCAAAAUUCCUUUCUGUAGCUUCUUCUUUUCCUCUGUUUCUUAUUCCUGAAAUUUAUCUUGGUAUCAAAGCUUCCUUCAUUUGAUCCAAAUGGCCACCUCCGGAAAUAUAUCUGAGAAUACUUCCUCUAUUAACCCUACAAAUAUUUCCACUGCUUAAAUCCCCCAAAUAUCAGUUCAAGCAAAUCCCCAAAAUCAACUCAUCGGAGCUCAAACUUUUCCUCUUGUUCAAACCUCUUUUCCAUCUCCAAAUGAGCCACUUACUAUUAAGCUUGACAGAGACAACUAUUUGAUAUGGAAAAAUCAGCUACUCAAUGUUGUGAUUGCAAAUGGAUUAGAAGGUUUUCUCGACAACACCCACCCUUGUCCUCUAAAGUUUCUUGAUCUGCGGCAGCUCAUUAACAAUCCAAAAUACUCUCUAUGGCAAAGGUAUAAUAGGCUUAUCAUGAGUGGUUCUAUGCAUCUUUAUUUGAGAAUGUCAUAACUCAAAUAGUGGGAUAUGACACUGCUAGUGAAAUAUGGUUAGCAUUGGGCUAGAUCUAUGCCUCAGCUUCAAUGGCUAGACUUGUUGAGCUGUGCACCCAACUUCAGUCUUUAAAGAAGGGUGGUAUGUUUGCCUUGGAUUAUAAUCAAAAGAUUAAGGGACUUUGUAAUAGCUUAGUUGCCAUUGGAGAACCGGUUUCUAGAGAGGAUCAGUUGAUUUACAUGUUUAAUGGUCUUCACUCUGAGUAUAAUGCCUUUUUUUUUUUUGAUAGGCAAAAGCACAAAUAUAUAUUAGAGAAAGGGAGCUUGAAAGGCAACCCAGAGCAUACAGGGAGUAUACAAGAGACACCUAAAACAAGCAACAAAAACACAAGCACUCACCGGCCCUCAACAAGAACCCAACCAAUCCACAAAGUUAAACAAAGAUAAAGGGCCUACAACUAUAGAAGAAUUAGCCCAGGAUAAGAGAUUACAAACAAAAGAGUCGACUCAAAGAUUGAAAAACUCUGAGUAUAAUGCCUUUGUCACCUCCAAUGUUUUUAGAAUCGGACCGGUCAUCGAACCGAAAAAAUUAUCGGUUCACAGUUCACUGGUCAAAUCGGCGGUCGAACCGGUGAUGUAAUAAAUAUAUAAUUUAUAUAUUAUAUAAAAUUAAAAAUAAUUAUAAAAAAUUUAAAAUAUAGAAAAUUACAAAUUUUAAUAAUGUUUGAUUUUUAUAUUUGGUAUAUUAAAUUAAAUGAUAAAGUUUAAUAUUUUAAAUUUUAUUAAAUAGAAAUAUGUAAUAUUUAAGAAUGAAGAUAUAUUUAAGAUGACAAAAUUUAUAACAUUUAAUUUUAUCUUUUUGUCUUUGUAUUUAAUUGUUUUCAAAUUAUUCUAUUAAUUAAUUUAUAUUAUUUUUUAUAAUUAUUAUUAUAUUAUUAUUUUAAAAAUAAACAAGAAUUUAAAUAUUUACAUUUCUUUAAAGAUUUUAUAUGAUAAAAAUUUGAAAUAAAAACAUUAAUCUUAGAGUCUUAUUAUAUAUAUUUUUUAACAUCAUUUAAUAAAUAUGGUGCAAUGCUCAAUGGUUCAAAGGCUUCAAACUCUGAGAUCCGUCCAACCCUCAAAGAAGUAAUGUUUUGCCUCUAUUUAGUCCUAGUCCCAGUCCCACAUCGGAAGCGCAUGAAUUCUAUGUGCUCUAAGUGCCCUAUAAAUACCUUCAACAUCCAAGCCAAACGUGCCAACAAAUUGGGCCUGGAAACAUGGCCCAAAUUUAAGUUUUAUAAGCUUGUCAUUGGAUUGGGCCUAGUGGCUUGGACCAAAUUUAAUUAGUUUUAGUUUUGAAAGUAUUGGGCAUGGAAAUGUGCCUGAUGGAUAAUGGGCCUUUUAAUAGUUAACAAAUUUUUGUAACAAUUAUGGUCUGACCGGUUUGUAAAAAACCGAACGGUUUGUUCGGUUUGGUGGUUCAACUGUCGGUUUGAACGGUUCAAUACCGAUUUAACCACGAAACGGUUUAUUGAGAUGGACCGAACCAGAAAGUUCACGGUCGACGGUUCGACCAGUUGGACCGGCCGGUCCGGUCUCCUUUUUAAAACAAUGGUCACCUUUGUGAAUAAUCAAUUUGACUUGCCCAGUAUGGAGGAGAUACAUAGUUUAUUUUUGAGGUACGAGUUUCGACUUGAGCAACAACAUACAGUUAUGCAAGCCAACAAUGUUUAGAUUCAAGCUCAUACUACUCAGACUCAAUUGACUGCUUCUCAUUAUAACAAGAAACACUUCAAACACCCAUCCCACUUCUCCAAUUCAACACCCCAUUUCUCUAUUCCUGCUACUCUUGCUACGAAUUCCUUUCACCCAAGUAUCUUAGGUAGACCUCAAGGAAAUCCGCUUGUUUGCAAUUGGCUAUUGAAACUUGUUAAUUCUUUGAAUGGUCCAAAACCACAGUGUCAAAUCUGUGGCAAAUCUGGCUAUACUGCUCUUGUUUGCUACCAUAGAGGAAACCUUCAUUAUCAGCCUCCAUCUCCAAAGAAUUUUAAUACUACCUUCACUUUUGAUUCCCCACUUCCAACAUCCUCUCUUGUGCCUAGUUCUUUUGAUACAACUUCUCCUGUAAGGGAUCCCUCCUGGUUCAUGGAUUUUGGAGCCACACAUCAUUUUACUCCAGAUAUCUCCAUGAUACAAAAUCCAACUCCAUUUAUUGGCAAUGAACAGGUUAUGGUUGGCAAUGGUAAGAAAAUUCCCAUCUCUCAUUCUGCCAAUUCUCUUUUAUCUUUCUCCUCUUCUUCUCCUCUCAAAUUGAAUGACAUUUUGUAUGCUCCUACUCUUUCAAACAAUCUUUUAAGCGUGUCCAGACUUUAUGCUGAUAACACUGCAUUUGUAGAAUUCUAUCUUGACUUCUUUCUUGUGAAAGAUCAGGUCUCGAAGAAGGUUCUUCUGCAGGGCCAGCUUGUUAAUGGUCUUUAUUAAGUCUCUUCAGCUUCAAAGUCUCGUACAUCAAAUCUCUCCAAAGUCUUCCUCUCCAGCACUUAAGAAGCAAACCUAUGACACCAUUGUUUAGGACAUUCCAAUUCCAAGAUUGUCAAAAGAGUUUUAAAUCUUUGCAAUUCCAGUAUCAUACAUUUUGAUGUGGAUUUCUGUAAUUCUUGUUAGUUUGCUAAAAGCCACAAGCUUCCAUUUGUAAACUUUGAUUCUAGAGCUAAGUUUUCUUUUGAGUUAAUACAUUAUGAUCUUUGGGGUCUUUCCCCUAUUUAUUCUGUGAGUGAUGUUUUUUUGCUAUUUAUUGAUGAUUACUCCCGUUUUAGCUGGUUGUACCUACUUAAAACUAAAGAUGAGGCGUUGUCCAUUUUUCUUCAGUUCAAAAACCUUGUGGAAAACCAAUUUGAUGCUAAGAUAAAAAUAUUACAAACCGAUUGGGGAGGGGAGGGUAGAUUUGUCUCCACUUUCUUGGCUUCUCGUGGUAUCUCUCAUCGAGUCUCUUGUCCUUAUACUCUCCAACAAAAUGGGUGAGUUGAGAGAAAAAAUCGUCAUGUUGUUGAAAUGGGAUUAACUAUGCUGGUUCAUUCUAGAGUACCUAUGUCAUAUCGGCCAUUUGCGUUUCAGUCUACUGUUCAUAUCAUCAAUAGGCUUCCUACAUCUAUUCUUAACUUCAAAAGCCCCUUUGAGAUCAUUUUUUUAGGAAAUUCCUGAUUACAAUUCCUUCAAAAUUUUGGUUCUGCAUAUUUUCCUUGCUUUUGAUCGUAUAACUCUCAUAAGUUGUAACCAUGAUCAACUGAGUGUGUUUUUUGGGGUAACGGUUCCUAGCAUAAGGGUUUCUUGUGUCUUGAUGUUUCUACAAGUCACAUUAAUGUUUCAAGACAUGUUGUAUUUAAUGAAUUGGACUUUCCUUUCAAAAAGCUUUAGUCCACAUCUUCCCCUUCUAUUAUCUCUUAUUGUAUAACUAUUCAUUUUUUUUUUUUUCCUGCUUCUUCUUUUCCUUCUACCACCAGUCCACAAUCCUCAUCUACAUCCUUCCAAACUGGACCACUUUCUCCUACUACCCCUUUUUUUGUUUCCUAUUCCAAGUUACCUAGUGACCAUCAGUCUAGCCCACAUUCCAUUCCCUUAAAUUCUUCUUCAUCUUCUACCAAUUCCAACUUCCUUCCAAAUUAUGAUUCUUCUCCCCUUCUUCCUCCUCCUCCUCUUUUCCCUUCUUCUGUUGUAUCACCAUUGUGUCCUUCUGAUACAUCCAUUUCACCACAAAGUCCCAUCAUCCAUCGGUCUCCUACUUCCUCCAACAUUCAUCCCAUGUUCACCAGGUCUAAACAUGGUAUUCAUAAGCCCACAUUAUAUAACCUCUCCACUUUAGCUACCUCAAAUUCCAUUCUGACUGAGCCUACCACUUACCAACAGGAUUCUCAACAUUCUGUGUGGCAAUAGGCAAUGUAAGCUGAGUUUGAUGCCUUGCAGGCUAAUGACACUUUGUCCCUUGUACCUGCUCCACCUCAUUGCAAACCCAUUGGCUGUAAAUGGGUAUACAAGGUUAAACUCAAACCAGAUGGCAGUCUUGAGAGACAUAAGGCUUGAUUGGUUGCUAAGGGUUAUUCCCAAACUGCUGGAUUGGAUUAUUUUGAGACCUUUAGUCCAAUGGCCACAAUUCGGAUUGUUCUUACUUUGGCCAUGUCUAAGAAUUGGCUCGUUAAGCGAUUGGAUGUGCAUAGUGCUUUCCUACAUGGUGAAUUAGGGGAAGAUGUGAUUAUGGUGCAACCUCCCCGCUGUGUUCACUCAAAUAAUCCAUUUUAUGUCUAUAAGUUUCCAAAGGCUCUUUAUGGUCUUAAGCAAACACCACGGGCUGGGUAUACUAAACUUAGUUCCUCAUUGACUUGUUGGGGUUUCAAACAGUCUCAAGGUGAUUCCUCCAUGUUUAUUUUUCACUCUGGUGCAAAUAUGCCGAUUGUUUUGAUUUAUGUGGAUGACAUAUUGCUUACAAGAACUAAUUCUCAACUAAUAACUAAUCCGAUUUCCACUCUUCACUCUCAGUCUACACUCAAAGAUCUUGGAGAUCUAUAUUUUUUUCUUGGUAUUGAAGCUCAUUGAACAAAAAAUUCUUUGCAUCUUAGUCAGGUGAAGUACAUAUCAAAUCUUUUAGCUAAAGCUUCUAUGGUACACUCCAAGCCUUUACCUACUCCAAUGACUUGUGCACAUUGUUCAUUUAUGAAGGCCAACCUCUUGAGGAUCCUACUCUCUACUGUAGUGUGGUUAGAGCUCUUCAAUAUUGCACCCUUACUUGUCCGGAUAUUUGUUUUACGGUAAACAAGGUUUGUCAAUUUAUGCAUUGUCCUACCAAUGUGCAUUGGCAAACAGUGAAACGAAUUCUUCGGUAUUUACAUGGCAUUGUUUCCCAUGGCCUCUCCAUUGCUGCUUCAUCAGAUCUCUCCUUAACAUGUUAUACUGAUGCUGAUUGGGCCUCAUGCCUUGAUGAUAGGAGGGGUACUAGUGGCUAUUGCACAUUACUUGGUUCAAGCUUGAUCUCUUGGAGCUCCUUCAAACAGAAAGUGUUUUCUCGUUCAAGCUCAAAAUUUGAGUAUAGAGGAUUAGCUAAUGCUGCUACUGAAUUAACUUGGGUGGAGUCUCUUCUUCAUGAAUUGUAGAUCCCAUUUUCUCCUCCACCAUUGCUGUUUUGUGACAACAUUAGUGCCUGUUACCUUAUUGUUAAUCCCAUUCUACAUUCUUGGACAAAACAUGUGGAGAUUGACUAUCAUUUUGUUCAUGAAAAGGUCUCCAAUGGCUCCUUGGCUGUUCACUUCACUCCUUUUGAAUCCCAGCUUGUUGAUAUAAUGACUAAAGCACUACCUACUUAGCGAUUUCUUGCAUUGCACAGCAAGCUCAUGGUUCUCCCAAGACCUGUGAUCUUGAGGGGGGAUGUCAGAACUAAUAAUGUAUUACUUAGUGGGGUUUAGUUAUAUGAUAUUCUCACAUGACACCUGUACAAAUGUGUGAGCUCUCUUUGUCUUGUAGUGUAAGAUAUCUCUCUCUCUCUCUGUAAUAGCCCUCUGAUACGGUUAACAAAAUACAAAGAAAAAUUCCUUUCUGCAGCUUCUUCUUCUUCUCCUCUAUUUCUUCUUCUUGAAAUUUAUUUGUAUGGACUUUUUCUUUUUUCUUUCUUUUUUUUUUUUGGGUGGGGAAGGGGGUGAAUUAUUGAGAGUUACAACAACAUUCUUUAGUGCAUCUAUCACAAGUUUUGAGUCUUCUUUGAUUUUUAAUUCAUCUAAUACCUUGUUAACAUAGUUUGCCCCUGAGAAGGUAACCAAAGGUAACACACCUAUAUUCAUUGUCAUUGUAGGCACAAGUGACCAUAAAGAUCUCUAAUUAUUGACCUUUCUAGUUGUUUGUUGUUCUAGACCUAGCAAAUUUCUAUAUCAAAAUCUUGUUAGAACUUUCAUAUUAGAACUUUCAAUAUCAAAAUUUUAAAACGUAUCUUAAAUGUUAAUGAAAUUCUUAGUUGGGUCUCUAUGACAAGAAAAGGAUAAACAACUUUCCCUUCGAAAAUCACCUUAUUUUUAUGAUUCCAAAGAUUUUAAAUAAGAUUUAAAGUUUUAAUUCUACCAAAUGUUUUUAAAACCGGACCAAACGUUGAACCAAAAAAGUUACCAAUUCACAGUUUAUUGGUUGGACUAGUGGUUGAACCGUGGUCAAACUGAUGACGUCA
rnacentral:lncRNA from 1 species